UGGGGAAUUUUGGACAAUGGGGGAAACCCUGAUCCAGCCAUCCCGCGUGUGCGAUGAAGGCCUUCGGGUUGUAAAGCACUUUUGGCAGGAAAGAAACGUCGCGGGUUAAUACCCCGCGAAACUGACGGUACCUGCAGAAUAAGCACCGGCUAACUACGUGCCAGCAGCCGCGGUAAUACGUAGGGUGCAAGCGUUAAUCGGAAUUACUGGGCGUAAAGCGUGCGCAGGCGGUUCGGAAAGAAAGAUGUGAAAUCCCAGAGCUUAACUUUGGAACUGCAUUUUUAACUACCGGGCUAGAGUGUGUCAGAGGGAGGUGGAAUUCCGCGUGUAGCAGUGAAAUGCGUAGAUAUGCGGAGGAACACCGAUGGCGAAGGCAGCCUCCUGGGAUAACACUGACGCUCAUGCACGAAAGCGUGGGGAGCAAACAGGAUUAGAUACCCUGGUAGUCCACGCCCUAAACGAUGUCAACUAGCUGUUGGGGCCUUCGGGCCUUGGUAGCGCAGCUAACGCGUGAAGUUGACCGCCUGGGGAGUACGGUCGGCAAGAUU
rnacentral:rRNA from 1 species